rnacentral:rRNA from 1 species
AUUGAACGCUGGCGGCAUGCCUUACACAUGCAAGUCGAACGGCAGCACGGACUUCGGUCUGGUGGCGAGUGGCGAACGGGUGAGUAAUAUAUCGGAACAUACCUUGUAGUGGGGGAUAACUAUCCGAAAGGAUAGCUAAUACCGCAUACGCUCUAAGGAGGAAAGUGGGGGAUCUUCGGACCUCAUGCUAUAAGAGUGGCCGAUAUCUGAUUAGCUAGUUGGUGAGGUAAAGGCUCACCAAGGCGACGAUCAGUAGCUGGUCUGAGAGGACGACCAGCCACACUGGAACUGAGACACGGUCCAGACUCCUACGGGAGGCAGCAGUGGGGAAUUUUGGACAAUGGGGGCAACCCUGAUCCAGCAAUGCCGCGUGAGUGAAGAAGGCCUUCGGGUUGUAAACUUCUUUUAUAAGGGACGAAAAAAGGUCUUUCUAGAUCGUCUGACGGUACCUUAUGAAUAAGCACCGGCUAACUCCGUGCCAGCAGCCGCCGUAACAC